AGUUAACACCAUCUGUAAGUCAAGUACUCAUUCAGGUAGCAGAGACAGACAAAAAAAAAAAAAAACUUGGUUUUUCCUCAACUAAAAAUUUUAGGGGGCUAGAGUUGUGGCUCAGUGGUAGAGUGUUUUCCUAGCAUGUAUGAGGCAAUAGGUUAAAUCCUCAGCCCCACAUAAAAAUAAAUAAAUAAUCCCACUCUCAGACAUCCUGCCUUGCCAUGUGUUCUCUCCCUUUUGCAUGAGCUCCCACUAGGAUGCCAUUUAUCAUAUGAUGCAGCUAGGGGGCCCUCACCAGAGCUGGCACCAUGCUAUUUGGACUUUCAGCCUCCAUAACUGUGAGUUAAAAAUAAAUAAUAAAUAAAUGGUCCAUCAACAACUGAAAAAUAUAUUUUUUUAAAGUUUCCAAAUGGGGCUGGGGUUGUGGCUCAAUGGUAGAGUGCUUGCCUAGCAUGUGUGAGGCACUGGGUUCAAUCCUCAGCACCACAUAUAAAUAAAUAAAUAGAUAAAUAAAUAAAAGUUUUUUUUUAAGUUUCCAAAUCUUUAAAAAAAUGUAUUUUAGUUUUGUCAAAUGCUCUUAAAGAAAUACACAAAAGCUUGAAAUUUUACUUUAUAUAAAGGGUAAGAGGGAAACCUUCAUAUAUAGGUAAUAUGUAAGCUAGGGCACUCCUAUAAUACCAGCAACUGGGCAGGGGCAGGUAGAGAGACAGGAGGACCACAAGUUCCAGAACAAUAUUGGCUAUUUAGCAAAGCCCUAAGCAAUUUAGCAAGAAC
rnacentral:lncRNA from 1 species